UUGGUUGGCCCAGCGCCUGGAUGGAAGUCGACGGCGUGCUGGUACCUGCUGGUAGUGGCAGAAGUAGAAGCAAACGUGGCUUCGGAGCUUGGACACCGCAUGCAGCGACCGGCGGUGAGCCGGCGGUCAACAGUCAGCUGGGUAGCUCGUCUCUGGCAGGCGAUGUAGCCCGCUGGCUUGCAGCCGAUCGACUGGAUGCAAUUUUGGUUUAUUUGUUGUCUGAAUUGCAUCGGAUUUUGGGCCCUUAUGAACUUUUAAAGCACCCUCUAGGUCUAGCCCUCGAGGAACGCUUACAUCGGCCGUAUUUCACAGUCAGACCCGAAUGAUGCAACUCGAGGCACACGAGGCUGGCCAUAGUGACAGUGAAUUAAAGAAGAAAGAGGAGGUUAGAGUAACAUAGAUACGGCUGGUUGUAAUGGGUAGUAUCAUAUACUAUUAUCAUACAUAUGAC
rnacentral:lncRNA from 1 species